GGUGCUGCACACAUAUCUAAUACAUAAUCACCUAAUUGUAUGUCAAGAGCCAAGAUAGGUAGUAUUGAGCCUCCAUCAAAAAGAUAAUAAUCUACAAUAAAGCAAUACAUUGAAAUACAAAGCAGGUUAUGUUAACGGAAAGAGGAAAACGCCUCCUACAUAAAAAUAUAGCACAUAUCGAAUAGGCUCUUAGAAUUAAUCUGCUAGAUGGCGUGACAUGCAAAAAUUUAGAUCGAUUAGUCAGAAGAAGUCAUCGAAGUCGAUUAACCGUUAGAAGAUUGCAAUGCGGUAAGAGAUGUAAAAAGAGAAUGGCGCGAACCACACACUGAAUACGAAGAAAGAGAAAGAGAGAAAAAAAGGCAAAU